UAACACCCUACCCACCGCUCAAAACACACCCAAUCCCCUCCGACCUCCUCCCGCAUAGAACCCCGCAGCCCCAAUCCUCCUCCUGCCUCCUUCCUCCUCACGCCGCCGGAUCCCCACCCCACCACGCGCCGCUGGAGCCCCGUCUCGCGACGCGCCGCCGAAGCCCCACCCCGCGCUGCUAGAGCCCAGCCCUGUCCCGCCGCUGCCGCCCAGCCCAGGUACCAACGGAUCCGGCGACAUCCCCAUCGCCAGCCACACAAUCUCCACCGGCGCAGUGGAGCAGCAGCACCACCGUGGCCGUGGACAUGCGAGGGGAUCCCGGGGCUAGUGCGGCCAUGGCCUGGAGCUCGCCCCUUCUCCUGCGUGGGGACGCCAGCUACUGCAGAGCCCAGCUACCAACGGAUCCCGUCGGAUCCCCACCGCCAGGCACGCCACCCCCUGUUGCAGUCCUCCCUCCCUGUUGCAGGCCAGGCGUCCCGGGCUUCAAGUGCGCCGGGGCACGCGAUGCGGUUUGGCGCGCGUGGCCAUGCAGGUGCAUCACCCCCCGCUCCCAACAACCACGAGCAGCAGCGCGUAUGGCAGUGGACACAACCGAGUACCCUUCUCCUCUGCUCCCUUCCCCAGCCAACAUCCAUCGAGGUGUGUGUAAUGUCGUGACGAUGAGUUCAUUCUCUGUUGGCAAGGUAAUGCAUUUUUCAGUAUGGUGUGCAGUUCCAUCAGUGUGGUCGUGCAGCACGCGGGUGUGGGUUUGCAAUCUGGUGCCCAUCUACGUGCAGCCCACGAGGAGGCGACUGGUACUAAAGAUGCUACAUCCAUGAUAGUGUGAUGUUCACUUUGUUAGUUCUUCCCUCUAAUUAUACGGACGAGCUGCACAGAACUGCGGUCAUCCCGAGCCUGCCGCCGAGGAGCCGGCGAGCGUCCCCGCGGCACCACCGCCUACCUGAACCUCGAACCGGGCGACUGCUACGGGGACAGCACCGCCGUCUCCUCCCUCGUGUAGGUGCUCCACUGAAUGAAUCCCCCUUCACCGUCUCCCUUCAGUUUCUCUAACAAGACCGGUUGUAUAUCUCUGAAGAUUGUUGUAAAACCAAAUGUGGAUAGUACUGCAAGCAUAUGAUGGUAGGGUCGUGAUCAAAAUUCUGAUCUGUCAUAGAUAGUGCAGGUUCCAUGGUUAUAAUAAGCCAUAAUGCUGGAUAUUUGCUCUCCCUUAUCUCAACCCCCUAAAUUCCUAUGUAUGUUGAAGUGGCGGAGUAUUAUCUUACUGAAGUUGACAAUAUAAGGGCGUCGGAGGUUUUGAUCGUCGUGA